rnacentral:rRNA from 1 species
GCAACGAACGCUGCGGCAGGCUUACCCAUGCAAUCGAGCGCCUUGUGCACAAAGCGGCAACGGGUGAGUAACGUUGGGAAUUUACCCAUCCGUACGGAACAACUCCGGGAAACUGGAGCUAACAUUGUAUACGCCCUUCGGGGAAAGAUUUAUCGGCAUGGAUGAGCCCGCGUGGAUUAGCUAGUCGGUGGGUAAACGCCUACCAAGGCAACGAUCCAUAGCUGGUCUGAGAGGAUGACCAGCCACAUUGGGACUGAGACACCCCCAAAUCUCACGGCAGGCAGCAGUGGGAAUAUUGACAAUGGGCGCAAGCCUUGAUCCAGCCAUGCCGCGUGAGUAUGAAGGCCUUAGGAUUGUAAAGCUCUUUCACCGAAAAUAAUCCGGUAUCCGGAAAAAGCCCCGAGUAACUUCUUGCCACACCCGGUAAUACGAAGCUAGCGUUGUUCGAAUUCUGGCUAAACCCUAGCUUAAGUCAGGGGUGAAUCCCAGAGCUCACUCUGGACCUGCCUUUGAUACUGGGUAUCUUGAGUAUGGAACAGGUAAGUGCAAUUGCGAGUGUAGAGGUUAAAUUCGUAAAUAUUCGCAGGACCUCCAGUGGCGAAGCGGCUCACUGGUCCAUUACUGCCGCUGAGGUCCAAAGCGUGGGGAGCAACCAGGAUUAGAUACCCUGGUAGUCCCCGCCGUAACGAUGAAUGUUACCCGUCGGCAGAGUUUCUUGUCGGUGGGCGCACUUACGCAUUAAACAUUCCGCCUGGGGAGGUCGGGCGCAAGAUUAAAACUCAAAGGAAUUGACGGGGCCCGCGACAAGCGGUGGAGCAUGUGGGUUUAAUUCGAAGCAACGCGGAAAACCUAAACAGCCCUUGACAUGUCCGGCCAGCUGCAAAUAUGCAGUGUUCCCUUCGGGGACCGGAACACAGGUGCUGCAUGGCUGGCGUCAGCUCGUGUCGUAACUGUUGGGUUAAGUCCCGCAACGAGCGCAACCCUCGCCUUAGUUGCCAGCAUUCAGUUGGCACUCUAAGGGGACUGCCGGUGAUAACCGAGAGGAAGGUGGGGAUGACGUCAAGUCCUCAUGGCCCUUACGGCUGGGCUACUCACGUGCUACAAUGGUGGUGACAGUGGCGGGAAGGAGCGAUCCCCAACUAAUCUCCAAAAGCCAUCUAAGUUCGGAUUGCUCUCUGCAACUCGAGUGCAUGAAGUGGGAAUCGUUAGUAAUCGCGGAUCAGCACGCCGGGGGAAUACGUUCCCGGGCCUUGUACACACCGCCCGUAACACCAUGGAAGUUGGUUUUACCCGAAGGUAGUGCGCUAACCGCAAGGAGGCAGCUAACCACGGUAGGGUCAGCGACUGGGGUGAAGUCGUAACACGGUAGCCGCAGGGGAACCCGUGGCUGU